GGCUACGGCAAUAUGCGGGGAAGAGUGCCCUUCCCGUCCGAUCAGCGCAGCGAAGCCCGCAAAAGUCCAGUUGGUUCUAGCGUGAGACAUCUGCCGGGAAUACUGGAUGCUGUAGUUU
rnacentral:rRNA from 1 species